UUAACCCAUUUAACAACUCAGUCCAUCAAAUUAAAUGAGUUAUGGUUGACCCAACUCAUUUAACAAAAUGAGUUGGGUCAACCCAUAACUUAUUUAACCUUAAACUCAUUUGAUUAUGAGU